rnacentral:misc_RNA from 1 species
GAUGAAGAACGUAGCGAAAUGCGAUAAGUAAUGUGAAUUGCAGAAUUCAGUGAAUCAUCGAAUCUUUGAACGCACAUUGCGCCCCCUGGUAUUCCGGGGGGCAUGCCUGUCCGAGCGUCAUUACAACCCUCAAGCUCAGCUUGGUGUUGGGCCCCGCCGCCCCGGCGGGCCCUAAAGUCAGUGGCGGUGCCGUCCGGCUCCGAGCGUAGUAAUUCUUCUCGCUCUGGAGGUCCGGUCGUGUGCUCGCCAGCAACCCCCAAUUUUUUCCAGGUUGACCUCGGAUCAGGUAGGGAUACCCGCUGAACUUAAGCAUAUCAAUAAGCGGAGGA